GGUGGUUCGAUCCUGGCUCAGAUUGAACGCUGGCGGGAUGCUUUUGCCAUAUGCAAGUCGAACGGCAGUACUGACUUUCGGUCUGGUGGCGAGUGGCGAACGGGUGAGUAAUGUAUCGGAACGUACCAUAGCGGGGAUAACUACGCGAAAGCGUAGCUAAUACUGCAUACGCCCUUCGGGAAACAGACCUUUCGGGCCUCGUGCAACUAUUAGAGCGGCCGAUAUCGGAUUAGCUAGUUGGUGGGGGUAACGGCUCACUCGGGCGACGAUCCGUAGCUGGUUUGAGGACGACCAGCCACACUGGGACUGAGACACGGCCCAGACUCCUACGGAGGCAGCAGUGGGGAAUUUUGGACAAUGGGGGAAACCCUGAUCCAGCCAUCCCGCGUGUGCGAUGUAGUCUUCGGGUUGUAAAGCACUUUGGCAGGAAAGAACGGCACGGAUACCCAGCAACUGACGGAAAAUUUGCAGAAUAAGCACUGGCUAACUACGUGCCAGCAGCUGCGGUAAUAGAUGUAGGGUGCAAGCGUUAAUCGGAAUUACUUUGGGCGUAAAGCGUGCGCAGGCGGUUCGAAAGAAAGAUGUAGAAAUCCUGCAGAGCUAACUUUGGAAAUCAGUAUUUAACUAUCAGAGCUGAGGCCGAGGGAGGUGAAAUUCGCGCAGUGAAAUGCGCAGAUAUGCGGAUGAGUUCACCGAUACAGGCAGCUUCGAUAAACACUGACGUCACAGUGCAUGAAAGCGUGGGGAGCAAACAGACGCACAGAUACCCGGCAGUCCGUCGCCCAAACGAUGUCAACUAGCUGUUGGGGCCUUCUUCGGGCCGCAGUAGCAGUUAAUCAGCAGGUUGACCAUGCUUGUGAGCAUGGUCAAAGAUUAAAACUCAAAGGAAUUGAUUUGGGACCCGCACAAGCGGACAUGGAUUAAUUCCGAUGCAAACGCGAAAACCUUACCCACCUGACAUGUCUGGAAUCCCGAAGAGAUUUGGGAGUGCUCGCAAGAGAACCGAAACACAGGUGCCAUGGCUGUCGUCAGCUCGUAUACCGUGAGAGAUGUUGGGUUAAGUCCCGGCAACGAGCGCAAAUCCCUUGUCAUUGGGCUGCUACGAAAGGGCACUCUAAUGAGACCGCUGGUGACAAACCGAGGAAGGUGGGGAUGACGUCAAGUCCUCAUGGCCCUUAUGGGUAGGGCUUCACACGUCAUACAAUGGUCGGGACAGAGGGUCGCUAACCCGCGAGGGGGAGCUAAUCCCAGAAACCUGAUCAGUCCGGAUCGCAGUCUGCAACCUCGACUGCGUGAAGUCGGAAUCGCUAGUAAUCGCGGAUCAGCAUGUCGCGGUGAAUACGUUCCCGGGUCUUGCACACCGCCUGUCACACCAUGGGAGUGGGUUUUACCAAGAGUUAGCCUAACCGUAAGGAGGGCGAUUACCACGGCAGGAUUCAUGACUGGGGUGAAGUCGUAACAAGGUAGCUCUGGAGCUACUCCGAUG
rnacentral:rRNA from 1 species